rnacentral:lncRNA from 1 species
UACUUAAUGAACCACCUUAGCUCAUACAAUUGCCACAAUGAGCCACAAAAGCCCCAGCCCGUUGAUAAAAAAUAGAAGCCACGAAGAGAAGGUCUGAAGAUUCAUUGCACAGAGCUGCUGGGAGGUUCCAGCACAUGGGGGGAGCAAGUUUCAAAGCCAAAACAUUCAAGGAACCAAGGGGUAUUAGCGUAUAAGAUGCCAGGAAGAGAAGCACCCUUCAAACCAGCAUAAAUAUCCUAACUCCUUUCCCC